GGCAUGGCCAGUUAGCUGACACUUAUUUACAUAAAAACCUUGAGGAUUAGGCCCUAAAGGGCCAAUGGGUACCUGGGAACUUCUUUAAAUUCUAUUUUUCUCAGGUUACUUCAAUGUGUGUUUUCUAAAUAGCAAAUUAAGAUUUUGGUGUUUAAGGAAUCACACCAGAAUUGGCCCCAAAUUGGCCCCGUGCCUCGGGUGUGGAGGCAGCACACACAGGUUAGAUGCUCACUGGGAGCUGGACACGCCCCCAGGCUUACAAAGUCACAGGAGGGCUGGAUGGCCCAAGGGCAGCUGCCCCUCCCGGGGCCCCACGUUUCUACCUGCAGGUGGCUUGAGAGCUGGAGAAACCAAAGGGUGACAUGAGAGGCAGCAGCGAGAGGCAAGUAGGAAAUACUGAACCUUGGGCCGGAAAGGGCUGAAUCCAAUCCCCAGUCUACAUCUGCCAGCUGUGUGGCCCUGGGCAAAUGGCUUAAUGCGUCUGAGCCUGUUUCUUCACCUGUGAGAUGGCUGUCGAAGUACCUGUCCUGCUGGGUUGCUGUGACAGGAGAGGGAAUGUGUGGGGAAUGGUUGGCACAUGGCAAUUCUCAGUAAACGGCCCCUAGAACAACAGCUGAAGUCACUGCUGCAGAGGUAACAGUUGCCAGAUACAGAACCGUCCUCUUCCGUGAUCCAAACCCACGCCCCCAAAACCACCACUGACCAGCAAACACCACUCUUUAGAAGACCACCCCCGUUGUCGCGAUCGGAACACUCGUGUAACCCUUUCCACUAGUCUGAGAGGGUGGAAAGCUGACCGGCACGUUUGCGCAUGCAAAAACGAGUGGCCCCCAGCCCCCAGCGACAUUUCCUGGAAUUCACCAUCGGCUGAAGGUGAACUUUCGAAGCUUUGGGUUCGUGAGCCUUCCUUGCUGCCGAAAGGGGAAACCUUCCAGAACGGAGAAGAUGAGUGUCGACAUUGAUGGGACAAAAUCGUAUCGUGAGGAUAAGGAACAGCCACAGCUUUGCAUGCUUGUGAGGGUUAAUUUUAGGAGUGGGCAAAAGGAUUCCAGCUUACGGGAAUUUACAACAAACAACGGUGUGUAGCUAGCUGGGUGGCAAAUGGAAAACUGGGGUGCGGGCCAGCCAUCGGCACUUUUCUGUCCAUGUGAGGAUCUCGUGAGACCUUUCUCCCGGACCAUGAUCAGACCCUACGCUGCAGCCAGUCGACUGAGUAAUUAAAUAACACAAGUUAUAAAACUUUAAAAAGGGGGCAUUUACAGUCAGGGACAUAAAUACGUGCUUUUAAAAGUGUCUACGUACAUAUUUACAGAGUUGCAAGAUCAACCAUAGUAGCCCUGGGGG